AACUCUCAAACCGGAUGGCUUUAUUGCUUCAUCUUGGUUUGGAUUUGGGCUUUUGCUGUGUCAUAACGGCUAGCCUUAAAAGCAUUAGCUGAAUCUUGGUUAUGAGAUUGGUUCUACUUGGCGUGAUAAUUUAUCUGACCGCUGAGGACAUCUUUCGGGAUGGCCAGACUUCUUCCUCGAGUCGCUUCUAAUCUGGCAUUUACGGGAAACCGUACUUCCACUUUUCAA
rnacentral:misc_RNA from 1 species